CCCUCUCUCCCCUCCCCGAGACUCCACCAAUCCGGUGAGGCGCCUCCGAGCCCUGGCGGCGCUGGAGGUAAAGUUCAAAAGUCUAAAGCCAAUGAACAAUUCUUCAACCCAGACCCUCUCGAAUAAUCAAUGUGAGGAUUUUCAUAAAUGAGAAGCUGCAUUCGUCGACAUAUAACAAGGAAGACAAUUCUCUACUAACCGUGGUUUUGACUGGCACG